CGGUCGUUAUUGACACAUGGCUAUGGUUAGUAGGUUUUGGCCGCAGGAUUAGGAGCUGGACCUCGGCGAUGGGUGCCCACUUCAGUUUUGGAGGAGUUUUCGGCUGUUUCAAGUGCCCGGUUCUUAGUUUCAGGCGCCCUAAUCUGGGUUUCUUAGCAAUGGACAUGUUAGCUUGUUUUGAUUUGAAGGCUCAAUUUACCUAUCCAAUUCUUCUGUAAAAUGAACCCCCUUCAUCCCGAAUUAACCUCUUUCCAUCUCUAUUACUAGGAAAAUUCAUUCACCCUCUUUUAACCCUUUCUUCUUCUCAAUCCACUCCCUGCAGGCUAGAAUUAAUUGAGCAGGAGCAAUUGAACCAACGAUAGCUAGCUUGGAUUUUAAGCUAAAUAGGAGCCAUCUACUAUUAGAUUGGGUUGUGUUCGUGGAUUACAUGUUGAAGAAGAGUUUGGAGGCUGAUUCCAUCGUUUAAAUUUCAGAGUCCAAUGUACUUGUACCCAGUGUAUCUGUCCGAGGUAAAAGGAUUGCUGGAUAGAUAGCUCUCCUAUUCAUCGACCAGUUUAGAGGAGAACCCAGUAUUUGCUAGUUUUUUUUAGAGAGACUUUCUAUACAUAUUGUUGUUUUUAUUUUCCUGUGCCUAUAGAUUGUAUUAGCUUUUGGAAGUUGUAUAUGUACAAUUUGCUUCGGUUACAUUUUAGUUA